CCUACGCGCGGCUGCAGUGGGGAAUAUUGCACAAUGGGGGAAACCCUGAUGCAGCGACGCCGCGUGAAUGAAGAAGUCUUUCGGUAUGUAAACUUCUAUCAGCGGGGAAGAAAAUGACGGUACCUGACUAAGAAGCCCCGGCUAACUACGUGCCAGCAGCCGCGGUAAUACGUAGGGGGCAAGCGUUAUCCGGAUUUACUGGGUGUAAAGGGAGCGUAGGCGGUUUAGCAAGUCAGAAGUGAAAGCCCGGGGCUCAACUCCGGGACUGCUUUUGAAACUGUUGGACUAGAUUGCAGGAGAGGGAAGUGGAAUUCCAGGUGUAGCGGUGAAAUGCGUAGAGAUUAGGAGGAACACCAGUGGCGAAGGCGGCUCACUGGACUGUAAAUGACGCUGAGGCGCGAAAGCGUGGGGAGCAAACAGGAUUAGAUACCCUGGUAGUC
rnacentral:rRNA from 1 species